GUCCGGGUGGCGGAAUUGGUAGACGCGCUAGCUUGAGGUGCUAGUGCCCCUUACGGGGCUUGGGGGUUCAAGUCCCCCCUCGGACACCA
rnacentral:tRNA from 1 species